UUUUUAGUGUAAGUAUGUUCUAUGCAAUAUUUAGGACAUAGUUACAUUAAAA
rnacentral:pre_miRNA from 1 species